CUUGUUACAACAACUGGGAACAAGCAGUGCGAAGACAACUUAACUUGUUGACAGCUUGUGAACAGAUUUGUAACAACUUGUUUGCACACAUGUAACAACUUGUGCGUUUUUACGUGUGUAUUACAGGUUUGUUUUAUGUCAAUCCGAAGACCAGUAUAUUUACAAGUCUAGCAUUUUCGGUUGUGUCUUUGGUUAUGAAUGCAGGGGCGAAACUUGAGGGGGG